CAGCAGCAGCCGCGGUAAUACCGAGGGUGCAAGCGUUAAUCGGAAUUACUGGGCGUAAAGCGCGCGUAGGUGGUUUGUUAAGCUGGAUGUGAAAUCCCCGGGCUCAACCUGGGAACUGCAUCCAAAACUGGCAGGCUAGAGUAGGGCAGAGGGUGGUGGAAUUUCCUGUGUAGCGGUGAAAUGCGUAGAUAUAGGAAGGAACACCAGUGGCGAAGGCGACCACCUGGGCUCAUACUGACACUGAGGUGCGAAAGCGUGGGGAGCAAACAGGAUUAGAUACCCGCGUAGUCCCUGUCUCUUAUAC
rnacentral:rRNA from 1 species